CAUGGAUAUAAUAAGCUCUAAUUGCAUAACUAUACAACUUUCUUUUGUUGAUAGAUGUGACCUGGAUUGGUAAAAACUGCAAAAGGAGGUGUAGACGUGAUUGGAACAUAUGUAUUUUGGAAUGGAUGAGCCAUCACUUGAUUUUCUAAAAACAUCUAAAAGUGCUAGGUUAGUAGCAUGUAAACUAUAGUUAAAGAUUGCGAUUUUUGACUCAUUUGUAUACACUAUCAAUUGGUUCGGGUCGAUAUUGGUUAGGA
rnacentral:lncRNA from 1 species